AAGAAAGACCUUGCCCAACACCGUCAGACUGGUCCACCCAUCCCUCAUCUGCAGGAGCUCACUCUCCGGGUUUACACCUGAGUAGAGACAUUCACUGAGCCCCAUGCAUGUGCCAGUUGAGUCAGUAAGUGUUUCAGAUGCAUCAGAAAACAAGGCAAAUCAGGAAAGUACACCAUUACUUCAAGUCUUUUCUGGUGCCUUGUUUUCCCACUUUACAUUGUGAUCUGUCAGUGAUGAUGUGACCUAUUGCAGACCGCUCUCAGAAGUUUGAUCAUUAGGGUUAGUCAAGCAUUGCUAAUGAACCAAGAAUGAUGCGUCCUGUGGUAUUGGACAUCCGCUGUGAUAAGAAAUAGCUCUCUACACUCAGAAGAAGAAAGAAACACUUCAAUCCAGCAUAAAUGGAAGGAC
ensembl:lncRNA